rnacentral:misc_RNA from 1 species
AUGACUCCUCUUUGGGAAAUCCAAGCAAAGCUGGAGCUCGUAUCUUUAGAGUCAGCAGGCCGGGCCUGCGGUUCUAAUGAUUCCGGAUUUUUAUACCUGACGACCAUCCAAGGUUUCAUGAGUACUCCUAUUCUGUUAGUUAGUUAUGACUUUUCGUUUGACAUUUUAGCUGAGUCCGCUUGGGCCUGCGUCAAGCCUUUGUUUAU